CGGACUUGAUAUCUAACAAAUCAUCUAGAGAUAGAAGAGUGUCUGCUUGCAGAAAUGUUAAGACAGGUGCUGCACGGCUGUCGUCAGCUCGUGUCGUGAGAUGUUGGGUUAAGUCCCGCAACGAGCGCAACCCACGUCAUUAGUUGCUAACAGUUUAGCUGAGCACUCUAAUGAGACUGCCUUCGUAAGGAGGAGGAAGGUGUGGACGACGUCAAGUCAUCAUGGCCCUUAUGUCCGGGGCGACACACGUGCUACAAUGGCAUAUACAAUGAGAAGCAAUAUCGCGAGAUGGAGCAAAUCUAUAAAAUAUGUCCCAGUUCGGAUUGGAGUCUGCAACUCGACUCCAUGAAGUCGGAAUCGCUAGUAAUCGUAGAUCAGCCAUGCUACGGUGAAUACGUUCCCGGGUC
rnacentral:rRNA from 1 species